CCGCCUCUUCCGCCACCCGACCGGACCCGACCCGCUCCGCACCAAGCCGCCAGGACCUCGACCGCCACCUCGCCAACGUCCACCGCCCCCGGCUUCUGCGCCGUGAUCGACUUCCAGAUGGCUGUCCAAGGAGGUCUUCUGGAAAUCGACGUCCGUCGUCGGAUUCUUCACCUCGGCGCGUGCGCCGCCCAUGGAGUGGGGCUCGUGAAGGUCCAAGCCGGAGACAUCCGCCCGACGAGAUCCGCCCAUUCCCGGCUACCCGAAGAAAUGGCUCUCACUAUUUCCGAUCUCAAACGUAAGCCCUUUGGCCGCCACGUGGCGUCCGGCGGCCCAUCACCCGGCGGUCCGAACGGUCCACCGGGCGGCCACCAGGCGGGAGAGGAAGGAGAAGAGGAGGUCCGCCGAAACCGGGGAACGGCCGCCGUGGGUCCCGGAGGUGGAAGGCUCGGUAGCG
rnacentral:lncRNA from 1 species